rnacentral:lncRNA from 1 species
GUAGCCAAGAUUAAGGCUCAGGAUCUUUGAGGCAAGAAGGAAGAGGAGCUGCUAAGACAGCUGGACAACCUGAAGGUAGACCUGUCCCAGAUGUAUGUCGCCGAAGUGACAGGUGCCCGACAUUCCAGUUCUCUUAGAUUGUAGUCAUUUCCAAAUCUGUUGCCUGUGUUCUCACCGUCAUUAGCCAAACUCAGAAAACAAACCUCAGGAAGUUCUACAAGGGCAAGAAAUACUAGCCCCCAGAUCUGUGGCCCAAGAAUACUUGUAUCAUGUGCCACUGGCUGAACAAGCAUAGGGAGAACCUGAAGACCAAGAAGCAGCAGCAGCAGGAACAGGCUGUACCAACGACAGAAGUAAGAGGUCUAGGCAUGA